rnacentral:lncRNA from 1 species
CCUGAUUGGAUGCCAGCCAACCUCAUGGUCAGGACCUUGCCGACUGUUGCUGCUCGAUUCGAUCGAGAUCAAAGAGAAGGCAACUGACCCAUAUGUAGGGAUGAUGAUGCUGGAGUGACUUGCAAAAUAAGUCCAAAUUAAAAAUUUUCACUCCAAUGAGGACUUUCUGAUGCUCAAGUUAGAUUCAAAAAAUAAUAAGAGUAGCAACAAGUUCUCUGAUGGGAUGGAUUAGCUUAUCUUGGUCCUCGGGGCUUUGGUGAAGGCUAUCGAAUAGUUGGUUGAAUAGCUGUGAGAUCGUGCAAUCUCUAGAUUAUAGGACCAUUGAACAUGCUAUUAUGGGCAAGAUAAUCUUACCCUCAAUUGCUUCCACAAAAUUAAAGGAGUUGGUUACGCACGAGUCUAUCCAUCUGGGGUGGACAGCUGCCGCACACAUCAGAAAGUAGGUCGGCUGUGGUAACAAAGGCAAACCAUGUGCCAAGGCAUUAGUCCUACUGAGACAAUAGAGAUAGCCCAUGCAUUAGGCAGACCACACGACAGACCAGAUGCAAGCAGCUCUGCUCUGCAUAUGGCUCUGCUCUUAAAUCAAUGAUCCCGAUGAUAGCUUGAAGAUCUGAGGUGUCCCAUGGUUGUCACACUAAUCUACGGUACUCACGGUAACUACCAUAACAUUACUUCCAAAUUUUGAGUCUGAGAAUUA